rnacentral:rRNA from 1 species
GACAGAGGUGGCGAGCGUUGUUCGGAAUUACUGGGCUUAAAGGGCGAGUAGGCGGUGGGACAAGUCUGAUGUGGAAACCUAUGGCUUAACCAUAGAAUUGCAUUAGAAACUGUUUCACUUGAGUCAGUGAGGGGAGGGCGGAAUUCCUGGUGUAGCGGUGAAAUGCGUAGAUAUCAGGAGGAAGGCCGGUGGCGAAGGCGGCCCUCUGGCACUGUACUGACGCUGAGGCGCGAAAGCGUGGGGAG